CAAAACACAGAGGUCUGGCAUGAAGGCA
rnacentral:piRNA from 1 species